UGUCAGGUUGUUGUGAGCAUGCCCAAUGGAAUUUCGGCCUCUAGGGAAAACAGAGAAGUUGUGGAAAGUUGCAUCAGUUAUUCAUGGGCUGGUUUUACGAGCUCUUAGCGAAGCAAGUCUGGCACCUUGGAUUGCAUUACAAUCUUCACAUCACGAUAUGGCUUCAGUGCAUGGGGCACUGCUUUACCAUCUGUCACUGCAACGUCAUCACACAGUGACAGUGCAAAGCCGGAAACAAGAUUUCAGGAUGGAUGGAAGCCCACCCAAUCCCACCUUCCCUGCAGCCAGAGUGAGUGGGAGCACACCUUUCCCUCUUUAAAGCACCAGUUCCCCUGAAACGAAGACUAAAACACCGCGACUAGGCAGAGAUUCCAUUGGGCAUGGAAUUCCAUUCCUGACAAGCCAGCAUUUUUUCCUGGUGGUUGCAUCCAGAAUCUUAUCUCCUAUGUCCUGAGUAACAAAAAAGGAGAUUACCACCCCUAUCUGACUCCUGGCCGGAGGUUUCCCAUUGCAUUCCAGCAGUUCCUGGCCUCAGAAAUCCAAGGAGCUCUCAUCACAAGCUCACAGGCCAUAAAGAAUCUGAUAACCAUGGUUAUCAUCCAUCCCUGAUUCUCAAAGGAGUUGUGAAGGAUCCUUUGUAGCCAAGAUCAUUUCCGUGGAAUUGGCCUACUUAUUCCACUCUGCCCUUGGGAGUCCUUAAGGACUCUGCAAAUAGUCAAUAGCCCAGCUCCUAGCCAGCCUCCUUCUCUCCUCCCUGAGAAGCUCCCUAACGCGUGCUCUGCUGGUGCCUUUCUAAGUGAAAUUCCUUUGUAAGGUUUGUGUUUUUAUGACAGUCGGGCACUGACUAGAUAAAACGGGUUACACCAUUUCACUGUAACAAAAAACAUUCUGCAACACUGACCCUUCUAGAGAGGACAAUAGACUGGGAAGGGAGCAGCACAGACGUGGAGCCAGAGCUUCUGGGUUCCCUUGCCAGUUGGCACCAGUUCACUGUUGCUGUGCAGAAAAGCAUUCCCUGCCCCCACAGUCCUACCCUCCUCUUUGGCACGACUCCCACAGAGAGCAUGCAACAGCUAUUAGCCAGAAAAGCAUCCUGGAGCUUAUUAAAAAAUCAUAGCCAGGAACCCACUCUAUUUCUAAUUCCCGUUCUUAUGCAAGAGGACUCACAGGGAGAGGGUCCCCUGCUGGGGAGAGACGGGGACUUGGAGAACACCAGCAUUUGCCUCUCUCUUCGCAGGGUCAGGGAGAAUAAUGCAGGGGUGUUAGCUACUCGUGGUAGCUAAUCUGUGUAUGAUUGGCUGGCUCUUUAUUUUCACCCAGUGCUCUCUUGAGCAGAGAUUUAUCCUUUGUUCAUAUCAGGUUUGUCUCACCACGUGAUCCCGCCUGAGUCUUUGCUAUCCUUGGGCAUAGCCAGACCCAGAUCUUGUCUCCUUUCCCCAGAGGUUACCAGCUCUAUGUUCUUGCUGCUCUCUUCCAGACCAACAUGGACACUGUGUUUAGUGCACAGUGUCUGCUUAGCUAAACAUACUCUAACAAAACCUUUCCAGACAACACAUUUCCUGAGCUUUUCUUUCCUCCCCUCCUCGUCUAAUACAUCCCAGCUUUCUAGUCACUGCUGUACACUGGGCUGACAUUUCCAAGGGUCCACCUCCCAUUAAUCCCAGCACUUCCUGGUGAUUUCUAUUCUGCUAACUGAGCUGAUUAGCUGACACUGCCCCUUCUUGACCACAAACGUCAACCGUGUCCAGUUUGUAACUCAUGAGCCACAGGACUCUGAUUUCCUCCGGUGUCUCUAUGGGUGCUUGAGCCAAAGGACUGUGGGGGUGGGGGAGUUUCAAAAGCACCUGUGAAAUUCAGGAACACAAGUCCCAAGGAAAAUCAUUAAACAGUUCCCCAAGCUGUAAAUCAAACUUAUCUUUCUGAUUUGCUCAACCACCCUGUUUUAUAUCAUCUG